rnacentral:rRNA from 1 species
AGUCAUAUGCUUGUCUCAAAGAUUAAGCCAUGCAUGUGUAAGUAUAAGCAACUAUACUGUGAAACUGCGAAUGGCUCAUUAAAUCAGUUAUCGUUUAUUUGAUGAUUUUUUACAUGGAUAACCGUGGUAAUUCUAGGGCUAAUACAUGCAAAAAACCUUGACGCAAGAAAAGGUGUGUUUAUUAGACUGCAAGCCAACACCCUUCGGGGUUCCUGGUGAUUCAUAAUAACCUAUCGCAGCGCAUGGCCUUGUGCUGGUGCGAGAUCAUUCAAAUACCUGCCCUAUCAAGUUUCGAUGUGAGGGUAGUGUCCUCACAUGCUUUUGACGGGUAACGGGGAAUUAGGGUUCGACUCCGGAGAGGGAGCCUGAGAAACGGCUACCACAUCCAAGGAAGGCAGCAGGCGCGCAAAUUACCCAAUCCCGAUCAUGGGGAGGUAGUGACAAGAAAUACCGAUACAGGGUCUUUAUAGAUCUUGUGAUUGGAAUGAGUACAAUUCAAACCCAUUAACGAGGAACAAUUGGAGGGCAAGUCUGGUGCCAGCAGCCGCGGUAAUUCCAGCUCCACGAGCAUACAUUAAAGUUGUUGCGGUUGAAACGCCCGUAGUCGAAGCUUGGGCUUGAUUGCUUGGUCCGCCUCACCGCGUGUACUGAUGUAGUCGGGCCUUUCUUCCUGGAGAACCACAUGCCCUUCACUGGGUGCGUUGGGGAACCAGGACUUUUACUUUGAAAAAAUUAGAGUGUUCAAAGCAGGCACAUGCUCGGAUAGCUUAGCAUGGAAUAAUGGAAUAGGACGGUGGUCUUAUUCGUUGGUUUCUAGGACCACCGUAAUGAUUGACAGGGAUAGUCGGGGGCAUCAGUAUUCAAUUGUCAGAGGUGAAAUUCUUGGAUUCAUUGAAGACUAACUGCUGCGAAAGCAUUUGCCAAGGAUGUUUUCAUUGAUCAAGGACGAAAGUUAGGUGAGCGAAAACGAUCAGAUACCGUUGUAGUCUUAACCGUAAACUUUACCAACUAGGGAUCAGGCGGUGUCCUUUGAAUGACUCGCUUGGCACCUUAUGAGAAAUCAAAGUUUUUGGGUUCC